ACUCCUACGGGAGGCAGCAGUGGGGAAUAUUGCACAAUGGGCGCAAGCCUGAUGCAGCCAUGCCGCGUGUAUGAAGAAGGCCUUCGGGUUGUAAAGUACUUUCAGCAGUGAGGAAGGUGGGUAUGUUAAUAGCAUACUCAUUUGUACGUUAGCUGCAGAAGAAGCACCGGCUAACUCCGUGCCAGCAGCCGCGGUAAUACGGAGGGUGCGAGCGUUAAUCGGAAUUACUGGGCGUAAAGCGCAUGCAGGUGGUUUGUUAAGUCAGAUGUGAAAGCCCGGGGCUCAACCUCGGAAUUGCAUUUGAAACUGGCAAACUAGAGUACUGUAGAGGGGGGUAGAAUUUCAGGUGUAGCGGUGAAAUGCGUAGAGAUCUGAAGGAAUACCGGUGGCGAAGGCGGCCCCCUGGACAGAUACUGACACUCAGAUGCGAAAGCGUGGGGAGCAAACAGGAUUAGAUACCCUGGUAGGCUUAGG
rnacentral:rRNA from 1 species